AGUAGCACAGAGGAGACUAGAAGCUCCACCAACUCCUGGUAGGCCUGUUUUUAGCUUCAGUGCUGGAAAUCUCCCCAGAAUGAGCUUCCCUUCCAAGUGGGAUGACGCAGAGAAAUGGGUCAUCAACAGCUCUUGCCAUGAUUCACCUUCCCCUGCUUUAAAACCUCCUGAAGCCCCAAGCCUUUCCAAACAAAAUUUGGUCUUCCAGCCAAAGAUACAUGUUUUCUCAGAGAAGUCCAGGGUCACAGAGGAGGUGGUCUCUAGUUCAGCUUCGAACUUUCAUGAUUCCUUGUCUGUGGACCAUCUAGAAUCUGCUUUCAAUAGGGUCAAUACAAGUUUACUUUUUAAAAGAUAAGUUCACAGACGAUGUAAAGCAAAUCUUCCCCAAUUUCAGAUGCUAUGAAGCAAUGAAAGAAGGGUUUCUACUAAACAAUUCACGGUCAGUAAGACCGUGAAAGAUGCUGCCUCAGAACCUGAUCGGGUUCAACACAGAGACACUGGGACAGAGAUGACAGCUCUUGGUAGCUCAACCGUUUCACGAUGCCACACCCCCAUCAAGGCUCCUCCCCUGUUAGGCACAACACUCCGGCUAACAGGUCAGGACCCAUGGGCAUGGGGUGUUCAAAUUCCAGCACCAUUGAUGUAACUGAGCUCCAGGAGUCCCAUUUCGCGAUGUUUGAGCUUGGGACACAGUUUGAUUCAGUUGCGACAAAUUGGAGCUCUAGGGAGGAGGAGGAAGAGGAAGUACCAAAAAGCUUGAGAUAUUUUGAGACACAAUGAUUUUCCAAAGAGUAUUGCCGAGUCCAGAGAUUUUCCAUGGGAAGAAGAAGAGAAAACCAAGAACAGUCUCAGGUUUUAGCGAGAAGAAGCAAAAAUACAAGCCUAGGUGAACCUUCAAAUAAUGUGCAAAAGCAGAAGCUCAAUCGAAAAAGCUUGAGCUGUGUCAAUUGUCAAGUAGGUCAAUCUUUUCCAUCCAAUCCUCUCACAUUUUUUGUUUCAUAAACUCUUAGCCCCCUCAUUACCCAAAAAAAAAAAAAAAACUCUUACUCCCCUUCUUUACAACUUUGUUCCCUUUAACAUAGACAGGACGA